rnacentral:rRNA from 1 species
UUGACCUCGAAUCAGGUGGGACUACCCGCUGAACUUAAGCAUAUCAAUAAGCGGAGGAAAAGAAACUAACAAGGAUUCCCCUAGUAACGGCGAGUGAAGCGGGAAGAGCUCAAAUUUAAAAUCUGGCAAUCUUUGGUUGUCCGAAUUGUAAUCUAGAGAAGCGUUUUCCGUGCUGGACUGUGURCAAGUUUCCUGGAUACGGAACAUCAUAGAGGGUGAGAAUCCCGUCCUUGACACAGACUCCCAGUACUUUUGUGAUGCGCUCUCGACGAGUCGAGUUGUUUGGGAUUGCAGCUCAAAAUGGGAGGUAAAUUCCUUCUAAAGCUAAAUAUUGGCGAGAGACCGAUAGCGAACAAGUACCGUGAGGGAAAGAUGAAAAGCACUUUGGAAAGAGAGUUAAACAGUACGUGAAAUUGUUAAAAGGGAAACGCUUGAAGUCAGUCGCGUUUGCUUGGACUCAGCCUUACUUCGGUUUGGUGCAUUUCCUCGCAGACGGGCCAGCGUCCAUGUUGUUUGCCGGAAAAGGGGUGAAAGAAUGUGGCUCCUUUAGGAGUGUUAUAGCUUUCACUCGUAUGCGGGGAGCGAUAUGGAGUGGUACAGCACACUUCGGUGGUGCUUGUGCUGGCAUAAUGGCUUUAAACGACCCGUCUUGAAC